rnacentral:rRNA from 1 species
AGUGAACGCUGGCGGUAGGCCUAACACAUGCAAGUCGAACGGCAGCACAGGAGAGCUUGCUCUCUGGGUGGCGAGUGGCGGACGGGUGAGGAAUACAUCGGAAUCUACUCUGUCGUGGGGGAUAACGUAGGGAAACUUACGCUAAUACCGCAUACGACCUACGGGUGAAAGCAGGGGAUCUUCGGACCUCGCGCGAUUGAAUGAGCCGAUGUCGGAUUAGCUAGUUGGCGGGGUAAACGCCCACCAAGGCGACGAUCCGUAGCUGGUCUGAGAGGAUGAUCAGCCACACUGGAACUGAGACACGGUCCAGACUCCUACGGGAGGCAGCAGUGGGGAAUAUUGGACAAUGGGCGCAAGCCUGAUCCAGCCAUACCGUGUGGGUGAAGAAGGCCUUCGGGUUGUAAGGCCCUUUUGUUGGGAAAGAAAUCCAGCUGGCUAAUACCCGGUUGGGAUGACGGUACCCAAAGAAUAAGCACCGGCUAACUUCGUGCCAGCCGCCGCAGUAA